GGCAGGUUGCCCGAGCGGCCAAAGGGAGCUGACUGUAAAUCAGCCGGCAACGCCUACAGAGGUUCGAAUCCUCUACCUGCCACCA
rnacentral:tRNA from 1 species